CCGGCCUGUCACGCCGGGGGUCGCGGGUUCGAGUCCCGUCCGCUCCGCCA
rnacentral:tRNA from 5 species